ACAAAACCAGUAGAGAAUUACUGCAAAAUGAACAACAAAAAACAAUAAUGCAGUAGCUAAAGUGCUUAAGAAUGAUCACAGCCGAAUUAAUAUAGCGUUGUGAGUCUUCUACUACUUCUGGCCACAAAUAAAGAACAGAGCAAAAAGCUGCACUUUUACAUUCAAUGAAAAUGAAUGAUCAUCACUCACUGUCAAGUGCAGCUCAGGUUUUAUCUCACCAAGACUGGACUGGACGGAAGAUUGUUUUUGCCACAGAAUAAUAAAAUAAAAAAGGUAAUGGCAACUUUUUAUCUCACAAUUGUGUUUAUAUCUCACAGUACUGAGAAAAACAUUAUAAACUUGAAAUUGUGAGUAAUAAGGUCAAAAUUUUGAUAAAAAGGUGCAGAAACCUUUUUUAUUGUGAGUUUGUGUCUCACAAUUCUGGCUUUUUCCCCCCACACAAUUCGAAGUUUAUAUCUCACAACUCUGAGAAAAGUCAGAAUUGUGAGUUUUAAACUUGGAAUUGCAAGAUAUAAGAAUCUGAGACAUAAACAACUCAUAACUGUGAGAGAAAAAAGUUAGAAUUACAAGUGUA